GACGAACGCUGGCGGCGUGCUUAACACAUGCAAGUCGAACGGAAAGGCCCUGCUUUUGUGGGGUGCUCGAGUGGCGAACGGGUGAGUAACACGUGAGUAACCUGCCCUUGACUUUGGGAUAACUUCAGGAAACUGGGGCUAAUACCGGAUAGGAGCUCCUGCUGCAUGGUGGGGGUUGGAAAGUUUCGGCGGUUGGGGAUGGACUCGCGGCUUAUCAGCUUGUUGGUGGGGUAGUGGCUUACCAAGGCUUUGACGGGUAGCCGGCCUGAGAGGGUGACCGGCCACAUUGGGACUGAGAUACGGCCCAGACUCCUACGGGAGGCAGCAGUGGGGAAUAUUGCACAGUGGGCGGAAGCCUGAUGCAGCAACGCCGCGUGCGGGAUGACGGCCUUCGGGUUGUAAACCGCUUUCGGCUGUGACGAAGCGUGAGUGACGGUAAUGGGUAAAGAAGCACCGGCUAACUACGUG
rnacentral:rRNA from 1 species